UACGUAGGGUCCGAGCGUUAAUCGGAAUUACUGGGCGUAAAGCGUGCGCAGGCGGUUUUGUAAGCCAGAUGUGAAAGCCCCGGGCUCAACCUGGGAACUGCAUUUGGGACUGCAAAGCUGGAGUACGGCAGAGGGAGGUGGAAUUCCACGUGUAGCAGUGAAAUGCGUAGAGAUGUGGAGGAACACCGAUGGCGAAGGCAGCCUCCUGGGCUAGUACUGACGCUCAUGCACGAAAGCGUGGGGAGCAAACAAG
rnacentral:rRNA from 1 species